GCUCGAGUGGCGAACGGGUGAGUAACACGUGAGUAACCUGCCCUUGACUUUGGGAUAACUUCAGGAAACUGGGGCUAAUACCGGAUAGGAGCUCCUGCUGCAUGGUGGGGGUUGGAAAGUUUCGGCGGUUGGGGAUGGACUCGCGGCUUAUCAGCUUGUUGGUGGGGUAGUGGCUUACCAAGGCUUUGACGGGUAGCCGGCCUGAGAGGGUGACCGGCCACAUUGGGACUGAGAUACGGCCCAGACUCCUACGGGAGGCAGCAGUGGGGAAUAUUGCACAAUGGGCGGAAGCCUGAUGCAGCAACGCCGCGUGCGGGAUGACGGCCUUCGGGUUGUAAACCGCUUUCGCCUGUGACGAAGCGUGAGUGACGGUAAUGGGUAAAGAAGCACCGGCUAACUACGUGCCAGCAGCCGCGGUGAUACGUAGGGUGCGAGCGUUGUCCGGAUUUAUUGGGCGUAAAGGGCUCGUAGGUGGUUGAUCGCGUCGGAAGUGUAAUCUUGGGGCUUAACCCUGAGCGUGCUUUCGAUACGGGUUGACUUGAGGAAGGUAGGGGAGAAUGGAAUUCCUGGUGGAGCGGUGGAAUGCGCAGAUAUCAGGAGGAACACCAGUGGCGAAGGCGGUUCUCUGGGCCUUUCCUGACUCUGAGGAGCGAAAGCGUGGGGAGCGAACAGGCUUAGAUACCCUGGUAGUCCACGCUGUAAACGGUGGGUACUAGGUGUGGGGUCCAUUCCACGGGUUCCGUGCCGUAGCUAACGCUUUAAGUACCCCGCCUGGGGAGUACGGCCGCAAGGCUAAAACUCAAAGGAAUUGACGGGGCCCCGCACAAGCGGCGGAGCAUGCGGAUUAAUUCGAUGCAACGCGUAGAACCUUACCUGGGUUUGACAUGGAUCGGGAGCGCUCAGAGAUGGGUGUGCCUCUUUUGGGGUCGGUUCACAGGUGGUGCAUGGCUGUCGUCAGCUCGUGUCGUGAGAUGUUGGUUAGUCCCGCAACGAGCGCAACCCUUGU
rnacentral:rRNA from 1 species